rnacentral:rRNA from 1 species
AGUGAACGCUGGCGGUAGGCCUAACACAUGCAAGUCGAACGGCAGCACAGUAAGAGCUUGCUCUUACGGGUGGCGAGUGGCGGACGGGUGAGGAAUACAUCGGAAUCUACUUUUUCGUGGGGGAUGACGUAGGGAAACUUACGCUAAUACCGCAUACGACCUACGGGUGAAAGCAGGGGAUCUUCGGACCUUGCGCGAUUGAAUGAGCCGAUGUCGGAUUAGCUAGUUGGCGGGGUAAAGGCCCACCAAGGCGACGAUGCGUAGCUGGUCUGAGAGGAUGAUCAGCCACACUGGAACUGAGACACGGUCCAGACUCCUACGGGAGGCAGCAGUAGGGAAUAUUCGGCAAUGGGCGGAAGCCUGACGCAGCCACACCGCGUGGGUGAAGAAGGCCUUCGGAUCGUAAAGCCCUUUUAUUGGGAAAGAAAAGCAGCAGAUUAAUACCCCGCUGUUCUGACGGUACCUAAACAGAAAGCACCGGCUAACUUCGUG